AUUAAAAGUCCUAAAGAAAUUUGUGUUAAUAAGUGUUGGUUUUGUGAAAGUAUGUAAUGUAUGAGUUGUUUUUAUGACAUGGUUGAUGUUGUAUGAUGGUGUAUGGGUUUGGUAUGAGACAAUAUAGUAAGAAUGCACUUGAAUGACUAUGAAAUUUUACGUUUGAUGAAUCAAAGUGGUUUAUGAGGUACAUUAUUGAUUCAAGAGGAAUAUCAUAUGAUUUAAAGUGGUUGAAUUUAAUACGAAAUUAAAAUCUCUCGGUGAGAUCAAUUAGUGUAUUGAAUGUAUGUAAGAGGCUUCCACUAUGGGGGGUUAUCCCUAACACUCUAAUGGUCUUUCAUUCUUACUUAGAGAGGAUUGACGCGUGUGGUGAGAGUAGUGGGAGGUCCUAGGGUAGGCGCUAUCACUGGAGGUCUAUUCCGCGGUAAAGGACCAGCCUUGUGUGUGGUCGGGUGAAACCCCUCGGCAAUGGCUUUACAAAGCAGUAGAGGCCACCACAAGUGCACAACCCGCCCCAGCUCUAUAUACAUUCUUAGUACGGACGAGUCUAGAGGUCUUUAUAUGAUAGGAUGAUUAUUUUGAUGUGUUUUAUGAAAUUAAUGUCCAUGUUUAUGAGGAUUCGCAAGUUUAUGUGGGUUUUGAGGUUCUUAGAAAUAUUAGAUUGAAUUGGUUAAAUUGUAUGUUUAUUUGAGACCUAACUCACCCUUGCAUUGUAUGUUUGUAUGUGUUUGUCUUCCCCCUUGCGAUGAUCAUCCAAUCCUUUGGAUGUGAGUAGUAGGUGAUGAGGUACCCUUGAAGCAGGCGUUGGAGACUGAGGAAGAUCCAACCCCUAGUACUUAGGACGUUUAUUAUUUCUUAUUUCAAUAGUUUGUUAUUUUUGGAAACACUCUUUAGGCAUCUUUGGAUCUUUAGUUUAUUAUGUAUUUUGGAGAACUCUUAUA
rnacentral:lncRNA from 1 species